rfam:Oryza punctata chromosome 2, whole genome shotgun sequence.
AAUAAGAGCAGUUUUAGACUGUUCAUGUCCAAUGUUUAACCGUCCAUCUUAUUUGAAAAAAAUUAUGAUUAGUAUUUUUUUAUUAGAUGAUAAAAUAUGAAUAGUACUUUAUGUGUAACUAAUUUUUUUAAUUUUUUCAUAAUUUUUUUAAAUAAGACGAACAGUCAAACGUUGAAUACGGAUAUCCACGACUACGCUUAUU